rnacentral:tRNA from 1 species
GCGGGCGGGGACGCGGGUCGUCCGGCCGUACGCCGGGGCGAUGGUCGCCUACCAGCGGUGGGCGCGGGUGCCGGGCCCGCUGCUCGCG